GUAGUCGUGGCCAGUGGUUAAAGGCGAUGGACUAGAAAUCCAUUAGGGGUCUCCCAGCGCGGGUUCGAAUCCUGCCGACUCG
rnacentral:tRNA from 1 species